AAAUACAUAGCUUAGCGGCCAAAGCCCUGGUUUCAUAAGCCAGCGAUCAACAGUUCGAGUCUGUUUGUAUUUA
rnacentral:tRNA from 5 species